CAGAGGUGGGUGUGCCUCCUCCAACGCAAUGUGUCCACUGGGCCAUGAACCACACACCUAUCACACACCUGCCGUUUGCAAGACGGAGGUAGGGGAGGGGCCUGGCAGCAGGGAGUCAGGUCUCAUCCCUGACAACGGGGAAACUUGACCUCCAGGCACCAGCAAAAAGCCAGGGGCUUGAGCUUACUUCACUGUCCCGGUCCAGAGCUGGGCCAGCUGCGCCCUGCCCACACCCACAGGCUGCACGAGUUACUUUCCAGUCACACCCACCCCUCCCGCAGCCUGCACGAACCCCGUAACUUUCCCAACCCGGGAAGCAACUGCGCUUUGAUGGAAGGCACAGAGUCUAUUUCAGGUUCUGCACCUGCAAAUCUGUCUACUCACUGAAAUCGAUUUGUAAACGUAAAACCAGUACCUGCUUAGCUACCGUCUGCAUCUCUUGAAAAUGAAAUAAAAUAAGAUCAAUACUUCCUGCCGAGGUGACGUGUCCUGUGGAGAAAACCCGUGUUUGGAAAGGCUCGUACAUGCAUGAGUAGCUGUGCUCUUGGCCGGGAGUUCAGUGACGUAUGUUAACAGAAACACACAAAUAAGCCAUUGUGUACGGAUUGGUAGCUAAAAAGGCUGGACCAGAGGCUUGUAGGAACCUGGCCCUCUAUUUCCCCUGGGAGCAGAGGAGGUCCAGCAUUCGCUGAGUCGGUGUUUGCAGCCGCACCACGGAGCGCAGGACACGCUGUCACAGAGAGAGCUGCUGCAUGGCCUGCAGGAGGUGCCCGGAGCUUCGGCCUUCUGCACACUGAGUUUCACUUUCAUGGAAACCCACGUAACUACCUCCCCCCUCAGUAGACUAUGGAACACUUCCGGGGCCCAGAAAGUUCCACGGCAUAGCCCCCUCCGUGGGCACCCCCCAGAGCUAACGGCUGUUCUCAUCUCUGCCACCAGAGACCUGUCAUCCUGGGAUUGCAUGAACUGUCAGCCUUGUGCCUGGCUGCUUCUGCUCCACAGUCUCUGAGAUUCAUCCACACGGCACGGUGGCUCACGACUGUAAUCCCAGCACUUUGGGAGGCCAAGGAGGGUGGACCGCUUGAGCCCAGGAGUUCAAGACCAGCCUGGCCAACAUGGGGAAACCCAGUCUGUACCAGAAAUAUGAAAAUUAAGCAGGCAUCAUGGUGUGUGUCUGUAAUCCUAGCUACUUGGGAGGCUGAAGUGGGAGGAUGGCUUGAACCCGGGAGGCUGGGGCUGCAGUGAGCCGCGGUCAUGUCACUGCACUCCAGCCUGGGCCACAGAGCGAGAGCCUGUCUCAAAAAUAAAA